rnacentral:lncRNA from 1 species
UGGAUGCUUUAUGCUCUCGUGCUUACUUCUCGAAUGAGGUAGGUGUCCUUCUACAAGAAUGUUCCUUUCGUUGAAUAUGUCGGGAUGCAAAUCAAGUUGCCCAUUGUCUUACUAACGCUACCUUAUUGUGUGCAAUCCGAGAGGUUUGGAACACUCUGCCUCCUUUUUUGCUUAAUUGUUUGUCAUCGGAUGAUUUCCAAUGUGACAACAUCGCCUUCGAGGGAGUAAGAUUCAGGUGCAUUGGGAAAGCUUGAUAGUAUGGGUUUAGUUUCCCUCGUUAGCUUAUUACACCGUUGUUGAUUAUUUGCC